GGGUGCGGAUUGCCAGCGAAGGGGAGGAGAUGGGAUUUGAAUCCAGCCGUAGAAGGCGUUUCCCCAACGGAAAGGCGCACAGAUGUGCAUCCAGAGGGCGCCUGGGUGGCUCAGUCAUUAAACAUCCGACUUCUGCUCAGGUCACGGUACCAUGGUUCAUGAGCCCAAGUCCCACAUCCGAUGAGCUCGAGCCCCACUUCGGGUGAACACGAGGCCCACAUCACAUUGGGAGGAGCAUUAACUCAUGAGUUACGAGGAAGUGGUCCUCACCGCCUUCUUCCUGACCCAAGAGAGCGACGGGGCCCGACCAGAGGAAGCAACGCGCGCUGUGGGAAAGGACAUCAAGAUGGAUUUGAAAAGUAGCUUAUUAGCAGGAGGGAGGGCCCUCCCUUCGCCUCACCAGUUGGUCUGGCUAAGGGGUUCUCUCCAGCAGCACUCGGCAGCUUGGGGGCAGGACCCUCCCACAGCCGGCCACGCCAUCUUAGCCCUCCUCACGCGUGCACCGGUGACCUCCAUGCCGCCAAGCACCACGAGCGCCUUUCCUAUCUUCCAUCACCGCUAUGUGGCACGGACCACUGGCAGCUGCUCUCUCUGCCCUUCUCCCUGCCUGUAUUUGGGUGCUUUCUCCCAGCUGAGGACCAUUCUCUUUCGGCCACCUUCGAUGGCUCCUCCUCUUUACCUGCUUCUUGGGAAACUGGUUUCUCAAAGCUGAGGAAAACCUAAAGCAGUGAGUUCAGUAAUGGCAGACCGCCGCCGCCUUAGGAGAAGCUGGUGGGAUGAAAAUUAAGCAGCGGCUCCAGGAUGCCGUCCAGACAUUUUGGUUCUUGAGGAGCGACGGUAGCGAACCACGACUUGACCUUGGCGGCCAAGACAAAGGCAGAAUGCGAGUGAAGGCAGAAACGAGUGUUGCUCCUCCCCUUUCGAAAUUCCUAGGAUGCUAAUUCAGGAUCAAAAGCCUCAUUUCUCAAAAUUAAUAGCUAUGUACUAGUAAAGUUAAUAAAAGACACUGAGCUUCA